UUGGAGGGCAAGUCUGGUGCCAGCAGCCGCGGUAAUUCCAGCUCCAAUAGCGUAUAUUAAAGUUGUUGCAGUUAAAAAGCUCGUAGUUGAAUUUCGGGAUUGACGUGAUGGUCAUGCCUUAAGGGGUAUGAACUGUCACUGUUGAUUUCUCACCUUCUGGAGUAACUUGAUGUCCUUUAUUGGGUGUCUUGCGGAUCCAGGACCUUUACCUUGAAAAAAUUAGAGUGUUUAAAGCAGGCAUUUUGCUCGAAUACAUUAGCAUGGAAUAAUAGAAUAGGACGGCAUGGUUCUAUUUUGUUGGUUUCUAGGAUCACCGUAAUGAUUAAUAGGGAUAGUUGGGGGCAUUAGUAUUCAAUUGUCAGAGGUGAAAUUCUUGGAUUUAUUGAAGACUAACUACUGCGAAAGCAUUUGCCAAGGAUGUUUUCAUUAAUCAAGAACGAAAGUUAGGGGAUCGAAGACGAUCAGAUACCGUCGUAGUCUUAACCAUAAACUAUGCCGACUAGGAAUAAGACGAUGUUAAUUUUUUAAUGACUCGUUUGGCACCUUACGGGAAACCAAAGUGUUUGGGUUC
rnacentral:rRNA from 1 species